AAAGUCGUAACAAGGUUUCCGUAGGUGAACCUGCGGAAGGAUCAUUACAAAUCGAGGGAGAAUUGAAGUGUUGGACCGUGGGGGGGGGAGAAUUAAGAAUGAGAUUGUAGUUUACAACAAAACAAAAAAAUAACAACUUUUAACAAUGGAUCUCUAGGCUCUU
rnacentral:misc_RNA from 1 species